UCCGUAGGUGAACCUGCGGAAGGAUCAUUACUGCGUUAGAACGUGGAGGUUGAUGCUGGUGCAUAUUAUGUGUACAUGUGCUCGCCUUCACACUCUUCAUUCACUCAACCCCUGUGCACUUUAUCAGAGUUAGUAAUAGUAUUGUAGUGGCUGCUGGUUGUUAUCUCCAUUGUUAGAAGCGGGCAACCCUUUCUGGCAGUAGGCAUCAUCUCAGUUCAACUGCUACUAUGAACACUUUGACUUUAUUUAUACAAACACUUUGCUUGUUCUUUGAGAAUGUGUAAUGCUCCUUGUGAGCGAAAUACAAAUAUACAACUUUCAACAACGGAUCUCUUGGCUCUCGCAUCGAUGAAGAAACGAGCGAAAUGCGAUAAGUAAUGUGAAUUGCAAAAUUCAGUGAAUCAUCGAAUCUUUGAACGCGCCUUGCGCCCCUUGGUAUUCCGAGGGGCAUGCCUGUUUGAGUGACAUGCCAUUCUCAAUCCUCUUUUUCUUAAUUGAAGAAGAGGCUUGGACUUGGAGGGUAUAUCCAUGCUGGUACUGUCUGUAUCGGCUCCUCUCAAAGGCAUUAGCUGGACUGUAGUUCGCAUUGGUUGGUGUAGAAAUAGUUUUCUAUCUAUAGUCACUACAGGGCUUGUUUAAACUGUCUGCUUCCAAUAAGUCCACCUAUGUGUUGGACAGGUACUCUGUUACCUUGACCCAUUUGACCUCAAAUCAGGUAGGACUACCCGCUUGAACUUAAGCAUAUCAAUAAGCGGAGGAA
rnacentral:rRNA from 1 species